CCCUUAUAUUUUAUUUUAAUUUCCAAAAUACCCUCUUUGCUAAAACCCUAAAAUUCACGAUCUGUUCUCAUUUCUUACGCAGCCUCCACGAUCUAUGUUCAUCAUCUUCUACAACAAUGAUCUCUGUUCAUCAUCUUCUACAACAACAAAGCCUCCAAACCCAGAACUUUCUUCACUCCCACACCCACUCUCUUUCUCUCUCUAAAAUUUCCCCAAAUCGCUGAGUUCUUAAAAAUUGUAAGGUUGUAAAUCUAAAAUCAAUGUUGAAAAUCGCUUGAGUUCUUCAAGUUUCUACUGAUCUAAGAAAUGUAGUAGAGCGCACAUUUGACGUUUGGAAAGCAAGAUGGUCUAUUUUGAGAGACAUGCCAUACUAUCACAUUGACACACAAAGGGACAUCGUACUUGCUACUAUGGCCAUUCACAAUUAUAUUAGAAAGAAAUGCAAUGUGGAUGAUGCAUUCCAAACAGCCGAGAAUGAGAGCUAUAUUCUUUCGGUUGAUUAUAAUGAUAUUGGCACAACUUCAAGAGCUAACAAUGUAGAUGUCGAAGAUGUUGGAGAACAAAAUGAUGUCUAUUGGAUGGGGUUUCGUGAUAUGAUUGCUAGUGACAUUUCUAAUGCUUGAUGCUUGUAUUAUAUGAAUAUUUUCCACUUGUAUUUAUAGUGGAGUGCUUUCGGUUGUAUUAGCACUUUUAUUAAGUACAUCUUAUGCCUGUUGCAGGCUUAUAGUUAUAGUGUUAGUGUUAAUUCCUAUAUAAUUACUUUGUCUUUACAAUGAAAAAUAAAGAUUUCUAUAAA